AAGAACACAAGAAACAGGUACAACUUCGUCUUUCUUCAACACUUAACUCCUUCGACAUAUUUUCCUUCCUAUCUUUCUAAUUUCCCAAGUUACUUUUUGCAAGGCACCUUCUUUGAGGGUUCGAAACCAAAAGGCCCAACAGUGAAGACAUCAUAUGUGGGGGGUUUUACAGGGAGAGAGCUAGCUGCUGGUGGCUUGGGAAGUGGGGUGUAUUUCAACAAAGCACCAGAUUUUCCACCAUUGUAAUCUGUUGGGACAUCGCAAUAAGUAUUGUUUGAUGAGACCAAGAACACCUUGCAUUUGUGGUAAGCUCCUGAGGACAAGAGUUUGGGCAUGAUCCAGAAGAAACCAUUCUUGUCUGUCUUGCCCUGUUCC
rnacentral:lncRNA from 1 species